UACAGAGGGGGCAAGCGUUGUUCGGAAUUACUGGGCGUAAAGGGCGCGUAGGCGGCCUUCUAAGUCGAACGUGAAAUCCCCGGGCUCAACCCGGGAACUGCGUCCGAUACUGGAAGGCUUGAAUCCGGGAGAGGGAUGUGGAAUUCCAGGUGUAGCGGUGAAAUGCGUAGAUAUCUGGAGGAACACCGGUGGCGAAGGCGACAUCCUGGACCGGUAUUGACGCUGACGGCGCGAAAGCCAGGGGAGCAAACGGG
rnacentral:rRNA from 1 species